CUGUGUAUGGCAGGGGGCGGAGGCAGGGAGAAGGAGUGAGAGAGUGCUCUGGUGUCUCUUCUAAUAAAGACACCAAUCCUAUUGGAUCAGUGUUGCACCCUUACAAUCUCAUUUAAACUUAAUUACUUCCAUAUAAGUCUCAUCUCCAAAUACAGCCACACUGAGGGUUAAGGAUUCUACAUAUGAAUUUUGAGAGGCAAAAACUCUCAGUCUACAACACUAGUUUUUUUUUUUUUUUUUAAUUUUGUAGAUUGUUCUUUUGGUGUCCUAUUUAAAAAAUUAUUUCCUAACCCAAGGUCACAAAAGUUUCCUUCUGUAUUUUAUUGUUUUAGAUUUUACAUUUAGGUCUAUGAUCCAUUUUGAUUUAAUUUUCAUAUCUCUGUGAGAUUCUCUAUACAGGCUGACCCCUAUGGCCUACUAAGAAUGAAUAAUUAAAACUCUAGGAAUCCCAGGGUUUGUUGGAGUUCAGGGUUGUCGCUGAGUGGUGGAAAUAUUGUUCUCAACCAAAAAAAAAAAAAAAAAUGUGGGGAUUACAUGCCAGUACCAUCCACCCCUGCAUUAGAAGUUUUCAUCGAAGAGCUUCAUUUCACAAGCUUUCAGCGUUGAUCUCACCUCCUCGAAGAUGACACAUCUGAUCCCUCUGUCUAAAAUAACAUCUUUAACAUUAAGAAAUCUCAAGUUUUCCAUUUGAGAAAUCUUCUGGAUUCUGCAUUCCAGUGGUUCCACUGAAGCCAGUAGGGCUGAAUACCCCAUGUAGGAACAGACUCAGCACAAGAAUGUAGGUUCUACAUUCUUAUCAUUUCAUUCCCCAUGCCCUAACCAAUCAGUGAUCCCAAUUCCUCAGCCCACUAUUCUCCAAAAUUUCCUUAAAUAUGCCCAUCCAAAACCCCUCAGGGAAGCAGAUUUGAGGUUCCCUUCAGUUCCCUUCUUUGGUUGCCCUAUGAUUAUUAAACUAUUUCUCUACUGCAACUCUUGCUGUUUCAG
rnacentral:lncRNA from 1 species